UUGUCGUUAUGUUUUUGUUACUCAUAAACUGUAAGCCGUAUAAACCUAUAGUCUUUUUAUUUAAGGUCCUUGGAUCCUAACUUCGAAAAUGAGGUCAAGGUCAAAGGUCAAGGUCAUGUUCUGAAUUUUGUCUUUUGCUUGUUUUUGCAUUUUCUCCGAUAUUUUUAAUGUUAUAUAUUAAAGAACAAGUGCAAAA